rnacentral:rRNA from 1 species
AAUGGGCGCAAGCCUGAUCCAGCCAUGCCGCGUGUCUGAAGAAGGCCUUCGGGUUGUAAAGGACUUUUGUUAGGGAGCAAGUCCUGCAGGUUAAGAGCUAGUAGGGAUGAGAGUACCUAAAGAAUAAGCACCGGCUAACUACGUGCCAGCAGCCGCGGUAAUACGUAGGGUGCAAGCGUUAAUCGGAAUUACUGGGCGUAAAGGGUGCGCAGGCGGUAUUGUAAGCCAGAUGUGAAAUCCCCGGGCUCAACCUGGGAACUGCGUUUGGAACUGCAAUGCUAGAGUGUGUCAGAGGGGGGUGGAAUUCCACGUGUAGCAGUGAAAUGCGUAGAGAUGUGGAGGAACACCGAUGGCGAAGGCAGCCCCCUGGGAUAACACUGACGCUCAGGCACGAAAGCGUGGGGAGCAAA